AUUGAACGCUGGCGGCAGGCCUAACACAUGCAAGUCGAACGAGUGGCGGACGGGUGAGUAAUGUCUGGGAAACUGCCUGAUGGAGGGGAAUGACUACUGGAAACGGUAGCUAAUACCGCAUACCAUCGGAUGUGCCCAGAUGGGAUGAGCUGGGAGGUUGGGGAAAGGCUCACCGAGGCGACGAUCCCUAGCUGGUAUGAGAGGAUGACCAGCCACAUGGGAACUGAGAAACGGUCCAUACUCCUACGUGAGGCAGAAGUGGGGAAUAUUGCACAAGGGGCGAAAGCUUGAUGCCGCCAUGCCGCGUGUAGGAAGAAGGCCUUCGGGUUGUAAAGUACUUUCAGCGGGGAGGCGUUACCCGCAGAAGAAGCACCGGCUAACUCCGUGCCAGCAGCCGCGGUAAUUC
rnacentral:rRNA from 1 species